CCUACGGGGUGCAGCAGUGGGGGAUAUUGCACAAUGGGGGAAACCCUGAUGCAGCGACGCCGCGUGGGUGAAGAAGCGCCUCGGCGCGUAAAGCCCUGUCAGCAGGGAAGAAAAUGACGGUACCUGAAGAAGAAGCCCCGGCUAACUACGUGCCAGCAGCCGCGGUAAUACGUAGGGGGCAAGCGUUAUCCGGAUUUACUGGGUGUAAAGGGGGCGCAGACGGCGAUGCAAGCCAGGAGUGAAAGCCCGGGGCCCAACCCCGGGACUGCUCUUGGAACUGCGUGGCUAGAGUGCAGGAGGGGCAGGCGGAAUUCCUGGUGUAGCGAUGAAAUGCGUAGAUAUCAGGAGGAACACCGGUGGCGAAGGCGGCCUGCUGGACUGCAACUGACGUUGAGGCCCGAAAGCGUGGGGAGCAAACAGGAUUAGAUACCCCAGUAGUC
rnacentral:rRNA from 1 species